rnacentral:lncRNA from 1 species
CCCCCGCCGACCCAUCUGCUGCGGCUCUGCGGAUAUUACGGCAGCCUCCGAGAGGGGAAAGGUGUUUUAGCAGCAGUAAAUCACGUUUGCCGAGGCUGGCAGAGCCUCACAUAAAAUCUUUUGCAGAGCAGCGUAUAUCCGAGUCCUACUCUUGCUCUUUCUCACAGUGUGAACUGGACGUUUCCCGAAGGAAGUUACUGCACCAAAGAAUCCCUAGAGGCUCCCACCGUGGAAAGGGCGUUUGUUGGGGCAACAGAGAAUCACUGUAGCGGGACGGGGAACGACGCAGCCUGAACAUCACUGCUAUUCUCCGAGAAACACUUCCAAUGUAAGUGAAGCAUUUCGCUAGAGAGACGCAGUCAAAAUAUUCAAAUAUGUAGGAAGGGGGAAUUGUUGUGGCCGCUGAGCAUUAAAAUUCAUCAUGUGUGAAAAAAGCAGAAACACUGAGAGCACAAUUGAUCAAAACCUUCCGAGUCUGGAAAGAUAAAUGAAAUGUGAGCAAAGUGGAAGGAAAGCCGGGAAAAUCGGAGAAGACUACCGCAGGGAGUAGAGUCAGGGAAUACCAUUCAGCCAGAAGGGAGGACAUCAGCG